rnacentral:rRNA from 1 species
UCCCUAUGGGGUGCAGCAGUCGCGAAAACUCCGCAAUGCACGAAAGUGUGACGGGGCUAUCCCGAGUGCCAUCCGCUGAGGAUGGCUUUUCCCCAGUGUAUAAAGCUGGGGGAAUAAGGAGAGGGCAAGCCUGGUGUCAGCCGCCGCGGUAAUACCAGCUCUCCGAGUGGUGGGGAUGCUUAUUGGGCCUAAAGCAUUCGUAGCCUGCUUGGCAAGUCCUCCGUUAAAUCCAACGAUUCAAUCGUUGGGCUGCGGGGGAUACUGUCCGGCUAGGGGGCGGGAGAGGCCGACGGUAUCCUCGGGGUAGGGGUGAAAUCCUAUAAUCCCGGGAGGACCCCCAGUGGCGAAGGCUGUCGGCUAGAACGCGCUCGACGGUGAGGGAUGAAAGCUGGGGGAGCGAACCGGAUUAGAUACCCGGGUAGUCCCAGCUGUAAACGAUGCAGGCUAGGUGUUGGGGCGGCUACGUGCCGCUCCAGUGCCGCAGGGAAGCCGUUAAGCCUGCCGCCUGGGAAGUACGGCCGCAAGGCUGAAACUUAAAGGAAUUGGCGGGGGAGCACCACAGGGUGUGAAGCUUGCGGUUUAAUUGGAUUCAACGCCGGGA